rnacentral:rRNA from 1 species
CUUGCUACACCAUAGACUGUGAGUUGCGAACGGGUGAGUAACGCGUAGGUAACCUGCCUAUUAGAGGGGGAUAACUAUUGGAAACGAUAGCUAAUACCGCAUAACAGUAUGUAACACAUGUUAGAUGCUUGAAAGAUGCAAUUGCAUCGCUAGUAGAUGGACCUGCGUUGUAUUAGCUAGUAGGUAGGGUAAAGGCCUACCUAGGCAACGAUACAUAGCCGACCUGAGAGGGUGAUCGGCCACACUGGGACUGAGACACGGCCCAGACUCCUACGGGAGGCAGCAGUAGGGAAUCUUCGGCAAUGGGGGGAACCCUGACCGAGCAACGCCGCGUGAGUGAAGAAGGUUUUCGGAUCGUAAAGCUCUGUUGUUAAGGAAGAACGAGUGUGAGAAUGGAAAGUUCAUACUGUGACGGUACUUAACCAGAAAGGGACGGCUAACUACGUGCCAGCAGCCGCGGUAAUACGUAGGUCCCGAGCGUUGUCCGGAUUUAUUGGGCGUAAAGCGAGCGCAGGCGGUUAGAAAAGUCUGAAGUGAAAGGCAGUGGCUCAACCAUUGUAGGCUUUGGAAACUGUUUAACUUGAGUGCAGAAGGGGAGAGUGGAAUUCCAUGUGUAGCGGUGAAAUGCGUAGAUAUAUGGAGGAACACCGGUGGCGAAAGCGGCUCUCUGGUCUGUAACUGACGCUGAGGCUCGAAAGCGUGGGGAGCGAACAGGAUUAGAUACCCUGGUAGUCCACGCCGUAAACGAUGAGUGCUAGGUGUUAGGUCCUUUCCGGGACUUAG